rnacentral:misc_RNA from 1 species
AAGUCGUAACAAGGUUUCCGUAGGUGAACCUGUGGAAGGAUCAUUACAUAACACGUAUCCAACGUUAAACAACCCUGUGAACUUUAAGUCCCUCUUGCAGCCCAUGAGGAACAGCAAUCCCGGUAAAUCAUUGCCAAACAGUUUUGAUUCGGGACCUCUGUCCAAAAGGAGUUGCAAUCGAAGGGUGGAAGCAGUGGCAUAGUGUCACUGACUGUGUAAGGAUGUCGAUCACCGACCGGCAGACAUGUCACAGGGUCACCACGCCCCUUAAUCACUCCACUUGAAAAUGCCCCGCCUAGUGGUAACGCGCUAGGUAAAAAAAACCGAACAACUGUUAACAUGGAUAUCUUGGUUCUC